ensembl:misc_RNA Y_RNA Y RNA
GGCUGUGCAGUGGUGUUUACAACUAAUUGAUCGCAACUAGUUACAGAUUUCUUUGUUUCUAUUUCCACUGCUUCCACUUGACUAGCCUUAA